rnacentral:misc_RNA from 1 species
AAGUCGUAACAAGGUUUCCGUAGGGUGAGUCAAAACACAUUUUUUCCAUUUUUUAAGAUUAUUUGCUAACAUUUCUGAAUAGUGAACCUGCGGAAGGAUCAUUACCAAAAGGAACCCUUCGGGGUUAAUCCUCAACCCUUUGUUUAAAUACCAUGCUUCUUUGGCGGGCUUGCCCGUCAGAAGAUUUCUCCAACUCCAUAAAUGUGUCAUCUGAAUAAACAUUAAAUAUAAUAAAACUUUCAACAACGGAUCUCUUGGUUCUG